GAUGAACGCUGGCGGCGUGCCUAAUACAUGCAAGUCGAGCGAACGGACGAGAAGCUUGCUUCUCUGAUGUUAGCGGCGGACGGGUGAGUAACACGUGGAUAACCUACCUAUAAGACUGGGAUAACUUCGGGAAACCGGAGCUACUACCGGAUAAUAUUUUGAACCGCAUGGUUCAAAAGUGAAAGACGGUCUUGCUGUCACUUAUAGAUGGAUCCGCGCUGCAUUAGCUAGUUGGUAAGGUAACGGCUUACCAAGGCAACGAUGCAUAGCCGACCUGAGGGGGUGGAUCGAUACCCGGGAAGUGAGACACAGUCGCGACUCCUGCGGGAGGAAGCGGUAGAGAAUCUUACGCAAUGGGCGAAAGCCUAAUGGUGCAAAGCGGCGUGAGUGAUGAAGGACUACGGAUCGUAAAGCUCUGUUAUUAGGGAAGAACAAAUGUGUAAGUAACUGUGAAGAUAAUGACGGUACCUAGUCAAAAAGCCACGGCUAACUACGUG
rnacentral:rRNA from 1 species